rnacentral:lncRNA from 1 species
AAUAAUUUUUGGAUGAUGUCGAUUAGGAACUGUUUGGUUGGUUCAUCCGGUGAUGCUUUUUAGGAUGCCUCGACUGGUAAUUUUUCUUGGCCGAUGUCGCAUAGGAUUUUUUUUCGAUCAAAAUUUGUAAUGGAGUCUUUUUGCUGUUGAGGUCGGUUAUAUUUUUCUUUGCCUAUUCAAUUACUGCAGUCCAAUGUCACCCG